GUGGAGGACGGGACAGUACCAAGAUUAGAAAUCUGUUGCUUAAGCACAUGUCAAAAACUGUACCAGUGACAACUAUGAAGGUAACAUGUAGAGGAAGUGAUUUAGAUGCUGUUGUUAGCAUGUUCUGCACAGCGGACUAAGUUUCUCUGCUCUCUAACACAGAUAGAGACGUCCAUUCAGUGCUCUGUUUGCACAUACGUUGUGAGCACACUUGAGUAUCUGUUUCCCAGAGAGAGGACUCAGCCACAGUGCAAUAAGAUGGUUGAAAAAUACGUCCAACUGUUGGUUGACAUGCUACUGAAUAACACUUCUCCUAACUUCAUAUGCACUCUGCUUCGUUUUUGUGAAAUAUGGGAGCAUCCUGUCAAUGCUGUGGCACUUUCUGAUUGUGAUUCUUGCCUUACAUUGGCGGUUCUGACUCAUGUUCAUCUGGGCCCCAAUGCCACCGAGCACCAGGCUGCUUCAUUCCUGGACACCGUCUGCCAGCUGCACCCCAGUGCUAUGCCAAAGGUUACACAUCAUUCUGCUCCUUUAAAUGAAUGACUUUAAAGUGCCCUUAAUUUGCAAGUUUACUAUAAUUUCUACAUCUCAUCUAGUGUGAGACUUACGUGCAGCGUCAUGGGAACCAGCUCCGUGUGCUUCUGAGCAAACAGCAGGCGGCGCUGGACAUUUGUAAGGUAAAAACACCUGUGGAAUACCCAUGGCUCUUGACAAUAUGCUGAGGUCUUCUGAAGCAGUCCGGAAUG
rnacentral:lncRNA from 1 species